AGGACGCGGAUCCCAGGAAAGGUGCGGCGGGCCCCGCCCAGAGCCCGAGCCCAGAGGGCAGGUCCGCAGUCGGCCGAGCCAGGGCCAGGGCCGGGCGGUCACCUCGCCGGUCCUGGGCGAGCCCGUGGGGUAGCCGAUGAGCUGCUGGUGCGCGCAGCCGGGGACCGCGCCUGCGGGUGAAGCCGGCUCGGCACCUGCGCUCGGGUGCGGGGAGGCGGCGGCGGCCCCGACGGACGCGGCUGCGGGUAGGAGACAGGCGAGAUCCCAGGACGAGACCCGGACCCGACCUUAGCGCUUCUGCGCGGCGCCGAGAGGGGGGCUCGGGACCGUCGCCAGGGCCACCCCCUCCCGGCCGGCGCCCCCUGCACACCCGAGGGACUGGUUUCCAGGUGCUCGCCGCUAUCCGUCCGACAGCCACCAUGCCUCUGCCCCCCGGGUCCCCGCGCCUGGACCGCCCCUGACGCCCGCGAGUGAUGGCUGCGCCCCAGAACUGUGACAGGGGCCGAGUGGCCUCCACCCUCCGCUACUGCGUGUCGGUCAGCGGCACAGUGUUUCUGAUCGCCGGGACGCUCUGCUUCGCGUGGUGGAGUGAAGGGGAUAAGGGUGUUCAACCCAGCCAGCCGGCCCCACCCGCUGGGUACCCUGCGCCUGAGGCCCCCGGGUCCCUGCUCAGGUCCAUCAGCUUCAUCUGCUUUGGGGCAGGCGGCUUGCUGCUGCUCCUUGGCCUGCUGUGGUCCAUCAAGGCCAGUGCCUGGGGGUCACCCAGAAGUGACCCAUAUCACCUCUCCAGAGACCUGUACUACCUCACUGUGGAGCCGUCGGAGAAGGAGAGCUGCAGGACCCCAGAGCUGGUUGCCAUCCCCACGUAUGAGGAGGCCGUGCACUGCCCACUGGUUGAGGGCCCCCUGGCACCACCUGCGUACCCCACGGAGGAAGACCUGCCGUGCAGCGCCUCCGGGGCUGCCCUGCUUGGGGGCCAGCCCCCCUCGCCUCCGCCCAGCUACGAGAGCGUCAUCCCUGCUGCUGCUGUCAUUCCUGGAGAGACAAUACCAGCUGGAUCAGACCACAGUGAGAGGAAGGGAAAGGCCCCUCGCAGGCCCUGAGUCCAGAGACGAUGCAUGAGCUGCUUCUAGUGUCUGGCACAGUGCCUGGCUCACAGCAGGCGCUCCACGGACGCUUGCUUCUCAGUGCUGCUUUAUUCAUCUGUUGCCGUGUAACAAGAGGCUUAAACCUUGUCCCUGUAGGUUUCUGCCAGAGCCUGGCAGUCGCCCUCACUGCCGCCAUCUCUUCUUGCUUCUUCUGACCUGACCUCAAAACCAGAGGAUCGUUGUAAAAUCAAAGUCUGAUCUGCCAGUCCGCUGCACACCCCGGUUAGAGGCACUCUGUUGACUCCUGAGAAAGACGUUGGAGACCUUAGCGUGACCUCAGGAGGUUCCAGCCUGUGCUUCCUCUCUAGCAUCCCUCUCCCCCGGAACUGACGCCCAUCCCUCCAUUCCCAAAUACGAAUCCAGAGCCUACCCUGUCCCAGCCCCCGAGGAUACUACAGUGAACAAAGUCCCCAUCUGGACACUCGAGUCCUAGGUGAGGGGAGACAGACAAGAGACAAAUAAGUGAUGUAUAUAGAAUGAAUGAAGGCAGUGAGUUCUGUAGAGAACAGGGCAGCUGGGAGGACAGGGAGUACCUGGGGAAGCUGGUGCUAUCACCCCAGGGAAGACCUCACUGGAAAGCUGACAUUUGGAUAAAGACUUGAAGGAGGUGAGGGAGGGAGCCGUCACAGAUCUGGAGGAAGAGCAUUGCAGGCAGCAGGAACAGCAAGGCCGUUUACCCUUCCUAGGGUGCCUGUGCGUCCCACGGAGAGCACGGAGCCAGAGUGGCUGGAGGGAGGGAGGGAGGAGGCAUGGCAGAAGAUGGGCUGGGCGACAUGGGCCAAUUGUCUAAGCUCUUCCAGGCCAUUUGAGGUCUUUGGCUUUACACUGGUAAGACAGAAAGUCAUUCCAGGGUUCUGAGCAGGAGUGACAAGGUCUGACCUGGCAUUCGGAUUGGAACGAGAUUUCAGGGGACACGGGUAAGAGCAGAGAACACUUAGGGGGACAGAGAUGCGGGGCUCAGGCCAGGCGAUGAGCAGUAGUGGGGGGAGAGAAGUGAUUGGAUUCUUAUACGUUGGAGGUAGAGCCAACAGGAUGUAGGUGUGAGAGGGGAGGGGAGGCUGUAGCCAGGAUAUGUAGGCACUGGCCCGGAGAACAGGAGAAGGAUGGAGUUGACCUGGGAGGAGUAGGUCUGGGGAGGGAGAGGAGGAGCCUGCAGUGUAGGGCAAGUGUGUGCAUAGCAUUUAGAGUUGUAUCUCCAGCCCUGUCAGUGCUUACUUGCCCUGGGCUUUUGCACAUGCUGCUCUCUGUCUGAACUGCUUUUAUUGCCCUGACAGAACUGCAGCUGACUCCUCAAGGAUCCCUUGUGUGACUCCCCCUUCAUUCCUCACCUCAACCCCCAGUCUCUCUCUCUCUCUCUCUCUCUCUCUCUCUCUCUCUCGUGCACAUGUUGGACCUCAAGCGUAUCUCAGAGCCCUUACCAUAUUUUAUCCCAGAAGGAAGGACAAGUGCCAUCACUCGCUGAAACCCCGCGUGUGUCAGAGUGCCUCAUACCUCUGAGUGUCCUGCACAGAGCAGGUGCUCAACAAGAGACUGAGGGGGCUGGUUUGAAUCCUGGCUC